GUCAUUUUAGACAUGUCCUUUCAGAUCAUCUCUAUCCACUGCUCUUACUAGAACAUAGACGUUAGAAACUUCUGUAGGAAGUAGCAAUGUGCAAACAUAUGUGAUAAAUUAUAGCUAUGGAGAAACAGCAUUUUUUUUCUUAGCUUAGGUAUGUGAAGGGUAUUUGGUACUUUUGAACUUUUUUCUUGGAGGCCCGGAUCUCUGAGGCCUAGGCGUAAAUUCAUCACCGUUAAUGAGUCCUCAUGAUGUGUUGUCUCUAUGUUGCUGACGAGGUUAAGCCCGUGAGCUCACCUACCGGUCCACGUGAAGUUGGGAUAGUCCCUUACGCUACCAACGAUUAGGCAGGGAAAGAAAAAAAAAACACAAUUUAAAACUAUUUACAUGCUAUUUACCUCCAAUCACCAGACACUUCAGUACCAGAGUGUCGCCUUCGUGGUAAGUGCCGACUGUGCGCUCUACUUUAUUGUCAAGCUCGUCCAUGAAAAACGGAGGACUUGGCAGUACUGUGAACCAAAGAACAAGUUUUAAGGAACUAUAUUUUAUCGCAGAAAUAACAAUAAAAUGCAAAUCAUAGAACCAAAGGAUUAUAAUUUGCGUAAUUACUGGUGGUAGCACGUCUUGUGAGUCUGCCUACUUCAAAUGAUGUUUGUGAGGAGUCUGCAGUGGUUUGGCUUUUGCUAAGGUCAGUGGCAAUUCAAACAGUAGCCAUUCAAGACCAAAUUAGCCGUCUGGUAUCGCUGGCGAUAAAUGUUUGAUGAUUCUCAAUCCUUUUUGUUAAGUUCUUUAAGCCAGUCGAUCUUAAACAUUUUUCUGUGUUUACACUUAUCGACUAGAAAUGGAAACAUCUAACAGGUCUUCAUUAAUAUUUAUGUAUUUGAAGAACCCUUAGAUCUGUAACAAUGCUUUGAUUUAAGAGUGCGUUCUAUCAACAAUUACAAAGUAAACUGGACUAAUGUAAUUGACAUUUGUGCAUCGAGCAUGAUUAAAGCGAUUUAAGAUGUUUACGGUACGAUUUAAAGUUACGGAAUGUUUUAAAAUAAACACGCCGUCACCAUGAUGGAUGCGGUGUGGGCACAAAGUGUAGGGUGACCAUAUUAGGUUUUUCUCGUUGGAAUUAAAUGUUUUCAUUUCUAUUUUAAAUCAUAUUGCAAAAGUUUGCAAGUGUUUGUUUCACGCAAAAACUAUUCGAUGAGUUUUGAUCAAUUUUCUAAUUUUAAUAUUGUAUACGUCAAAUUAGCAUACAGAGUAUAAUCUAGUACGAUCAACAAAUUACAGAUGGCGCGCGACGUUAAAAAAAAUGUAUGUUUUAUAAACACUUAAGUCAAGGUGAGAGCGGAAUCUGACUGGUUUCACUAGUCUGAUCAAUAAAAAUAACCAUAAAUAUGUAAGAGAGGUGAUUUUUUAUUAUUAUUCAUAAUUAGUGAAAUAAAAAAUUGCCGAUAGAUGUUACAUGACAGAGGAAUGCGAGAUUGGCUGUAUUUUGACUAUAACUAUUUCUUUUCAAUUAUAAGCUACUAGGCUUUAUGACUCAUUAUUUUUCUAGGUAAUUCUCCCUCUUAUUCCUUUCUCGAGUUCAGUAAGUCACACACAGAAAAAUCAUUCAGAUAUCUGAUAUAACAUGACACUAUACCUGCACAAUACCUAUAUAGGUAUAGUAUCAUGUUUUUAAGCGUGUGCACGCUUCGACGAGGUCAGUGACCUGUUUCUAAUAAAAUAAUACUAAAUGUUCAUUUAAUUGAUUUUCUUUUAGGAAUGAAGGUUCAACCCCUUGUGAAAUGUGACUAAAGCUGAACACCUAGUUCAACUUUGGUCACUUUUUAUGCUUUGUAUGAAUUAUAUUUCUAUAUUAAUAUGGUCACAUGAACUAUGUAUAUUAUUAUUGGUAAAUUAUUGGUUGUAUAAUAUUUACUUCAACUUAAUUCCGUCUGCAUAAUUCGCAAAGUGACCGUGAAAAGAAACAUAUUUCACUCAGUGUAACCUUUUAGAAAUAUCAUAAAUAUAUAAUAGAACUUAUCCGAUAGAGAUUUUAUUUCUUUCAAAUUAAAUUUAAAAUCUAACCUCUCGUUUACCGUUCCGACAUUGUCACAACGCGAAGCCGAAAAAAAUAGAUACGAGGAUUAGUACCACGUGGUACCACGAUUAAUAGGUUCGUGAUAUCUACGAAUAUUUCAGAUACUCGGAAGCAUAUAUAUUGAGGCAGAGCAAUAGUUUAUCGCCCUAACCAAUUCCAAAUAGCGUUACAGGGACUUAUUUGUCUCUUUAAGCUCUCAGAUACAUAUGUAUGCCUAGACAUAAUUAAAUCGUUGGCUAAUUAUUUAAUCGUAGAGUGAUGGUGGUAUUAUCGGUUCUAUUAUCAGUAAGCACUGUUCGUAAAUCAUAAAAUAAUUAGGUAUUAAUAGACAAAGACUAAGAGUUUUUUCGUUCCUUUUGUCAAACGAUUUUUUUUUUUUUUUUGGCAGCCAUUAUCGGCCACAGGGCUGCCAAUUAAAAAAAUUGAAGAUAGUCGGUUUUUUUCGAAAUAUCAUUAAACAAAACAAAAGAGAAAAUCUGAGUCUCAUAUUAAAGAAUAUAAGCUCUGGUUGUCAGUGGUUAUGGUCGAUUAUGUAUUCUAUGGGCCGAUAAGAAGAAGAUGCAUUGUUUAACACUCGUCCUUAACAGAAUAACAAAAAAAAAACGAAAUUAAUUGUUAAUUCUGUUUGCUGUUGAACUGUAUUUUAUUGUUGUUGUUUUUAAACUAUUCUUUCAACAAAAUACAGAUAACGAAAGAACACAA